rnacentral:rRNA from 1 species
GGGCCCGCACAAGCGGAGGAGCAUGUGGUUUAAUUCGAUGAUACGCGAGGAACCUUACCCGGGCUUGAAAGUUAGUGAAUAAUUCAGAGACGAAUUAGUCCUUCGGGACACGAAACUAGGUGCUGCAUGGCUGUCGUCAGCUUCGUGCCGUGAGGUGUUGGGUUAAGUCCCGCAACGAGCGCAACCCCUGUGUUUAGUUGCCAGCACGUAAAGGUGGGGACUCUAAACAGACUGCCUAUGCAAAUAGAGAGGAAGGAGGGGACGACGUCAAGUCAUCAUGGCCCUUACGUCCGGGGCUACACACGUGCUACAAUGGGCAGUACAGAGGGCAGCUACCUGGUAACAGGAUGCCAAUCUCAAAAAGCUGUUCACAGUUCGGAUCGGGGUCUGCAACUCGACCCCGUGAAGUUGGAUUCGCUAGUAAUCGCAGAUCAGCAAUGCUGCGGUGAAUACGUUCCCGGGCCUUGUACACACCGCCCGUCAAGCAUGGAAGCUGGGGGUGCCUGAAGUGCGUAACCGCAAGGAGCGUCCUAGGGUAAAACCGGUAACUGGGGCU